GUGCUCACUUCAGCAGUAUAUAUACUAAAAUUUGAACAACACAGAGAAGAUUAGGCCCUGUGUGAGGAUGAUACACAAAUUCAUCAAGAGACGCUGAGAGAU